UUGACGGGACCGCACAAGCGGUGGAUGAUGUGGUUAAUUCGAUGCAACGCGAAAACCUUACCCACCUUUGACAUGUACGGAAGUUGCCAGAGAUGGCUUCGUGCUCGAAAGAGAGCCGUAACACAGGUGCUGCAUGGCUGUCGUCAGCUCGUGUCGUGAGAUGUUGGGUUAAGUCCCGCAACGAGCGCAACCCUUGUCAUUAGUUGCUACGAAAGGGCACUCUAAUGAGACUGCCGGUGACAAACCGGAGGAAGGUGGGGAUGACGUCAAGUCCUCAUGGCCCUUAUAGGUGGGGCUACACACGUCAUACAAUGGCUGGUACAAAGGGUUGCCAACCCGCGAGGGGGAGCCAAUCCUCAAAGUUGGCCUCAGUUCAGAUUGUAGGCUGCAACUCGCCUGCAUGAAGAUGGAGUUGCUAGUAAACGCAGGUCAGCUAUACUGCGUUGAAUACGUUCCCGGGGCUU
rnacentral:rRNA from 1 species